rnacentral:SRP_RNA from 1 species
GCACUAGUCGGGGAGCCAGCGGUGCCCUGUAACCUGCAAUCCGCUACAGCAGGGAUGAAUUCCCGUCUGAGGGAAAGUGAUGUGUCGACUGACUUCGGCAAGUGGCGUUGACGUUCCGGUCUCGCGCAAUGGAGCCCCGUGAACCGUGUCAGGCGGGGAACCGAGCAGCACUAAGCGGGUCUCUCCGUGUGCCGCGAGGGCGCCGGGGCUGAGCUUACCUGCCGUCGUAACGGGUGGAU